rnacentral:rRNA from 1 species
GACGAACGCUGGCGGCGUGCUUAACACAUGCAAGUCGAGCGGUAAGGCCUUUCGGGGUACACGAGCGGCGAACGGGUGAGUAACACGUGGGUGAUCUGCCCUGCACUUCGGGAUAAGCCUGGGAAACUGGGUCUAAUACCGGAUAUGACCUCCUAUCGCAUGGUGGGUGGUGGAAAGAUUUAUCGGUGCAGGAUGGGCCCGCGGCCUAUCAGCUUGUUGGUGGGGUAAUGGCCUACCAAGGCGACGACGGGUAGCCGACCUGAGAGGGUGACCGGCCACACUGGGACUGAGACACGGCCCAGACUCCUACGGGAGGCAGCAGUGGGGAAUAUUGCACAAUGGGCGGAAGCCUGAUGCAGCGACGCCGCGUGAGGGAUGACGGCCUUCGGGUUGUAAACCUCUUUCAGCAGGGACGAAGCGCAAGUGACGGUACCUGCAGAAGAAGCACCGGCUAACUACGUG